rnacentral:lncRNA from 1 species
GCGUCAAGAUCCUGCAGGGGCUGUUCCCCUGGAUCUCUGCCGGGGAGGGCUGCUGCGUCCAAUUUGGCAAGGGAAGAAACAGAGGAGGAAAUAUUUUGCUCAGUAGAAGAUAUGGGAACAAGAGCAUGUGAUGGUAAGUAAUCAAAUAACUAGGAAAAAAUAGCAAGAAAUCGGAAGCCAUUUCCUCAUUUAGCCGGUGGCCCACAGGGCCUCCUCUGCAUUGAAUCCCAAUAAGAGUAGAAUGAGAAGUAGGAGGAGCUGCAGGAUCAGCUUGAUCCAUCCGAAGAUGGUGCAUGUUGACUAGUUUUUCACAUAUUCUUCUUCAUAGCAUGUUGACUAGUUUUUGAUUAUUUCUCAGGUCAAUCGCUAUAUGCAAGGAAAAUUAAUGCAUCUAUCGACGUUGACCAAGACCUCUUACCUGGGUGUUGACCUUUUGGGAGGCCGCAUCAUCCGCUGAUGUCAGCAUUAUCUUGGCAGUCUCCAUCGUGGUGGCUACACCGGAGAUGAACAUCCAAGGGUUGACUUUUGGGAUGAAAUUUCCCCCCCGCCCUGAUCUCCAGGUUUGUUCAGUUGUCUUCCUUCAACUCAUUGUGCGUCUAUAGUCAUGGCAUAGUAUCACGGCGUUCUGAGGAUCGAUAGACAGUUGACUAGUCCUGGUAACUUUGCCGUCUAGGUUGCCAUAAUUUUGUCCAGUUUGAAGGUCAGAAGACUCUGAUGUUGGGUCAACGAUCCAUUACCUGCCCCUACUGCCUAUACCAACAUAGCUAUCUCCACCACCAGAACACCUCCAUUUUAACUAGUUUUUUUUGUUCAGAACUCGCCAUAUCAAUCUCAACCUAUGAAACUUGACAAGAAACUGAGCUGGUUUGUACAUCAUUCAUUCAGUUGACUUUCUACUCGCAUCAAUAUAGUCAAACCUUUCGUGCUUCUUAUCAUUUCUGACUGACCUUACAAAUCAUUUUAACCAGCACAUGAUCUGUUUCCGGGCAUCUUAUAGUCUGCCCGUUCUUGCAGUGCCAAACUCGAUCUUACAGAAAAAUUAAAUCAGUAGGAAGGCAUGAAAUGGAUGGGAACCCACUGCAAAAUGUGAUAGAGCGCCAAGAGGGAUUGAGUAGAAAGGGCGAAAAUGGAAAUUUACAACAAAGUUCUUCUCUUCAUACAUCCUUGAGGAUUGACAGCCCAUUCGGGCUGUGGAAGUCGUAAAAGAGAACCAGGACAGAGAAGGUAGCAAAUGAAAGGUUCAUCCUGAUCUUCAAUGCACCAUCUAUUGAGCAUGCCCUAGCAUGCUCAAUAGAAGAUUCAUGGAAAUGAAUGCUAAAAUUUCUUAAUCGAGAAAGAAACGGAUGACCUUGCAUGCUCAAUAGAAGAUUCAUGAAAAUGAAUACUAAAAUUUCUUAAUCGAGAAAGAGAUGGUCAAUAGAAGAUUCAUGAAAAUGAAUACUAAAAUUUCUUAAUCGAGAAAGAGUCGUAUGACCUUGCAUAUUCGAAGAACAAACGUGAGAUAUGGUGCUCAUAAUUAUGCUUUGAACCACUCGGUCCACAGUAUUAGCAUAACAGUGUAAGAUUGGUUGGAGUUGAUUGGCGCGGUGGAGAUAUGCUAUUGUGUACACCCACGUGACCAGGGAAGAAAAUGGUCCAUUAACUGGUUUCUUUGAACAGUAUCUCAUCGGUUUAACUUCUAAUCUACUUAACUUCACGUUUAAUAAACCCAUAAAAUAUUUUUUGGAAGCUGUGCAGCUUUUUGCUGGCAUAACAGUUUUCAAGAUUCUCAUAGAGGAGCUUCAUGCGUGCACAGCUUCCACUGGACAUAUUUUUGAAAUAAUAUUUUGAAUGCAUAAAAUAUUCACAACAUAAGUGAAGUGACGUUAAUCGAUAUACACAAAUCAUUAGACAAGGAGGGAAAAAAAAAGAGGAAGAUAUUCGGACCUGAAACCGAUCCCCAAUGGGCUUCAAUAAUAUCCGUUCGGUGAGGAGUGUCCAUGAAGGCAUCUUGAAGCGAGAAAGAUCCAGCCUUGUCCACUUGUUUUGGAAUGAAAUGGCCUGCUCUGUCAUCAGACCGAUGACCAAAGCUGGAAAUAAUUUCUUCAUUUCCCCUUCUUGGUUCCUCGGAUGACACAGAAUUCCGAGUCCCAGGUGACAAGGCUGUUCCAAGAGUUUCCACAAACAUGUCACUCGAUCGCACAUCAUUAUGCUGAUUUAGCCCAUCAUUGCCAUAUUCCUGAGAAAUAAUGCCGGGUGCGUCAGUGGGGAUGCUCUGACGAUGUUGACUGGCAGGUUCUUUCACUGUUUCACGAAGACGUCUUACACUCUCAGAAUCAAUGCGAGAUUGCUGCGUUUCCUCGGUGAUGUCACUUUUCGACACAGUAUGAGCUCCUAUAAUUGACAGACUGCCCUCGUUUUCUUCUUUCUGAUUGGUCUCUACUCCUGCACUAUCAUCAAUCCAAGCCUCCAGACUAAUAAAAUUACGCACCUCACUUCCCAUGUUCAUAGGUGAAGAGGCUUGAGAACUACCAUUGAGCAUGCUUACAGAUCCAGCUAAUGACUGGGUCCUUUCGACUCGGCACUCUUCACCGUCCUGGGAACAUUGGGAUUCUGGAUGAAAAUUAUCAGAUGUAGAUUCCGGGUCGAUCAUCCUAUUUGACUGCUUUAAAAUAGAGUCUUGGUCAUCCCUAGAGUUUUCUACAGCAACAUGGCCGUCAUUUUUAUCUCCCUUGGGCUGGAUGAGGAAUUUAAAGACAUUGUAAGUACUGCCCUCUUCUGACAUCAACUCAUCUGAUAAACCAUGGGAAAAUUCUCUGUCUGCAGGACUGUCUUCAUCUGCAAUGUUCUUGUUUUCACCUGCUUUAUUUUCUAUGGUUUUGCUUCCUCCAUUCUCGAGCUCAGUGUAGUCCCCAUCAGCCUCCCCGCAACCAAUAAAGGGAACCAAAUUUUGAACCGC